GCCUGGGUGGCUCAGUUGGUUAAGCUUCUGACUUCAGCUCAGGUCAUGAUCUCACUGUUUGUGGGUUCAAGCCCCGCAUCAGGUU
rnacentral:tRNA from 1 species